GGGAGCGCGCCGGAGCCGGAGAGCCGGACCCGGCUGUAAACCGGGGGCCUCGUGUUCAGGGGGUUCGAAUCCCUCCGCUCCCACCC
rnacentral:tRNA from 1 species